UACGGGGGGGAGCAAGCGUUGUUCGGAUUUACUGGGCGUAAAGGGUGCGUAGGUGGGCAGGUAAGUCAGUGGUGAAAUCUCCGGGCUUUAACUCGGAAACUGCCAUUGAUACUAUCUGUCUUGAAUACCGUGGAGGUUAGCGGAAUAUGUCAUGUAGCGGUGAAAUGCUUAGAUAUGACAUAGAACACCAAUUGCGAAGGCAGCUGGCUAC
rnacentral:rRNA from 1 species